AUACGGAGGGAGCGAGCGUUAAUCGGAAUUACUGGGCGUAAAGCGCGCGUAGGCGGCUUUGUAAGUCGGAUGUGAAAGCCCAGGGCUCAACCCUGGAAUUGCAUUCGAUACUGCAUGGCUAGAGUAUGGUAGAGGGAAGUGGAAUUUCCGGUGUAGCGGUGAAAUGCGUAGAUAUCGGAAGGAACACCAGUGGCGAAGGCGACUUCCUGGGCCAAUACUGACGCUAAGGUGCGAAAGCGUGGGGAGCAAACAGGAUUAGAAACCCCGGUAGUCC
rnacentral:rRNA from 1 species